GCAGUCGAACGAGGUGCUUUUGUAGCAAUACGAGAGUAUCCUAGUGGCGAACGGGUGAGUAACGCGUUGGUGACCUACCCCAAAGUGUGGGAUAACAGUCCGAAAGGAUUGCUAAUACCGCAUGUGGUCUUCGGAUUUAGAAACUGAUGACUAAAGGAGCAAUUCGCUUUGGGAGGGACCUGCGUCCCAUCAGCUAGUUGGUGAGGUAAUGGCUCACCAAGGCUACGACGGGUAGGGGACCUGAGAGGGUGACCCCCCACAAUGGAACUGAAACACGGUCCAUACACCUACGGGUGGCAGCAGUAGGGAAUAUUGCACAAUGGGCGAAAGCCUGAUGCAGCAACGCCGCGUGUGCGAUGAAGGCCUUCGGGUCGUAAAGCACUUUUCUGGGAGAUGAGCAAGGACAGUAUCUCAGGAAUAAGUCUCGGCUAACUACGUGCCAGCAGCCGCGGUAAAACGUAGGAGGCAAGCGUUAUCCGGAUUCACUGGGCGUAAAGCGCGUGCAGGCGGUUCGGUAAGUUGGGCGUGAAAUCUCCUGGCUUAACUAGGAGAGGUCGUUCAAUACUACCGGACUUGAGAGUGAUAGAGGAAGAUGGAAUUCCCGGUGUAGUGGUGAAAUGCGUAGAUAUCGGGAGGAACACCAGUGGCGAAAGCGAUCUUCUGGAUCAUUUCUGACGCUCAGACGCGAAAGCUAGGGUAGUAAACGGGAUUAGAGACCCCGGUAAUCCUAGCCGUAAACGAUGUAAACUUGGCGUCGGCGGCUUAAACUCCGUCGGUGCCGCAGCUAACGCGAUAAGUUUACCGCC
rnacentral:rRNA from 1 species